rnacentral:misc_RNA from 1 species
AAAGAAAUAGCUCAAAACCAAUAUCCAUCAAGAUUUGACAAUUAUAUAUGUUUUUUCUUGUUUAUUAUCUUUGAAAAUUUAGUUACAUUUGCAAUCUCAUUAAUCAAAUAACCCAUUAAUCAAACAACAUGCCUUCAAGUCUUCUAACAGAGUUUGCAACAAAAUGACACUUAAGCCAUGAUCUUCAAUAGAGUUUGCGAGAAAUCCAUCUUCUUUGGUUAUGCACAUGGAUGCAUCAAAGCUCAU